GUGCAAUGGCAUAAGCCAGCUUGACUGCGAGCGUGACGGCGCGAGCAGGUGCGAAAGCAGGUCAUAGUGAUCCGGUGGUUCUGAAUGGAAGGGCCAUCGCUCAACGGAUAAAAGGUACUCCGGGGAUAACAGGCUGAUACCGCCCAAGAGUUCAUAUCGACGGCGGUGUUUGGCACCUCGAUGUCGGCUCAUCACAUCCUGGGGCUGAAGUAGGUCCCAAGGGUAUGGCUGUUCGCCAUUUAAAGUGGUACGCGAGCUGGGUUUAGAACGUCGUGAGACAGUUCGGUCCCUAUCUGCCGUGGGCGCUGGAGAACUGAGGGGGGCUGCUCCUAGUACGAGAGGACCGGAGUGGACGCAUCACUGGUGUUCGGGUUGUCAUGCCAAUGGCACUGCCCGGUAGCUAAAUGCGGAAGAGAUAAGUGCUGAAAGCAUCUAAGCACGAAACUUGCCCCGAGAUGAGUUCUCCCUGACUCCUUGAGAGUCCUGAAGGAACGUU
rnacentral:rRNA from 1 species